rnacentral:tRNA from 1 species
UACGGAUUAAUAUAAUAGAAACAUAUUUGGCUUAUAAUUAGAAAAUAGAGGUACAAAUCCUUUAUCUAUAU